rnacentral:rRNA from 1 species
GGGUUAAGUCCCGCAACGAGCGCAACCCUAUGUUAGUUGCCAUCAUUCAGUUGGGCACUCUAGCGAGACUGCCGGUAAUAAACCGGAGGAAGUGGGAUGACGUCAAAUCAUCAUGCCCCUUAUGACCUGGGCUACACACGUGCUACAAUGGUUGGUACAACGAGUUGCGAGUCGGUGACGGCGAGCUAAUCUCUUAAAGCCAAUCUCAGUUCGGAUUGUAGGCUGCAACUCGCCUACAUGAAGUCGGAAUCGCUAGUAAUCGCGGAUCAGCACGCCGCGGUGAAUACGUUCCCGGGCCUU